AUGACAAAUGGUGCCGGGUUGUGUAUGCUAUUGCUGUCAUGGAUAAAGGUGCAGAGGUGUCGUGUGAGUGUGGUAAUUUUGAACAUAUGGGGCUUCUGUGCUGUCAUGUUCUCAAGGUACUUCACCUUCAUGGGUUUCACUGAGAUCCCUGCAAAGCAUAUAAUGAAGAGGUGGUGGAGAAAGGAUGUGCUGCCAGAACAUCUAACACAUCUGCAGAGGGACCAAAUAUCAGUGAAUUCCAUAAUUUUUCGACACUCAGACCUGUACAAGCACGCUAUGGAAGUUGUAAGGCUUGGCGAUGCCAACACAUCAGCAUAUGAAAAAGCCAAGAAAAUGUGUUGA
rnacentral:rRNA from 1 species